UGGUCUGAGAGGACGAUCAGCCACACUGGAACUGAGACACGGUCCAGACUCCUACGGGAGGCAGCAGUGGGGAAUUUUGGACAAUGGGGGCAACCCUGAUCCAGCCAUGCCGCGCGAGUGAAGAAGGCCUUCGGGUUGUAAAGCUCUUUCGGCGGGGACGAAACGGUCCGUGACAACACCACGGACUAAUGACAGUACUCGCAGAAGAAGCACCGGCUAACUACGUGCCAGCAGCCGCGGUAAUACGUAGGGUGCAGGCGUUAAUCGGAAUUACUGCGCGUAAAGCGUGCGCAGGCGGCUCCUUAAGUCAGAUGUGAAAUCCCCGGGCUUAACCUGGGAACUGCGUUUGAAACUGAGGGGCUAGAGUGUGGAAGAGGGGGGUGGAAUUCCAGGUGUAGCAGUGAAAUGCGUAGAGAUCUGGAGGAACACCGAUGGCGAAGGCAGCCCCCUGGGCUAACACUGACGCUCAUGCACGAAAGCGUGGGGAGCAAACAGGAUUAGAUACCCUGGUAGUCCACGCCCUAAACGAUGUCAACUGGUUGUCGGGGAAGCAAUUCCUUGGUAACGAAGCUAACGCGUGAAGUUGACCGCCUGGGGAGUACGGCCGCAAGGUUAAAACUCAAAGGAAUUGACGGGGACCCGCACAAGCGGUGGAUUAUGUGGAUUAAUUCGAUGCAACGCGAAAAACCUUACCUACCCUUGACAUGUACGGAACCUCGCAGAAAUGCGAGGGUGCCCGAAAGGGAACCGUAACACAGGUGCUGCAUGGCUGUCGUCAGCUCGUGUCGUGAGAUGUUGGGUUAAGUCCCGCAACGAGCGCAACCCUUGCCAUUAGUUGCUACAUUCAGUUGGGCACUCUAAUGGGACUGCCGGUGACAAACCGGAGGAAGGUGGGGAUGACGUCAAGUCCUCAUGGCCCUUAUGGGUAGGGCUUCACACGUAAUACAAUGGCCGGUACAGAGGGCUGCCAACCCGCGAGGGGGAGCAAAUCCCAGAAAGCCGGUCGUAGUCCGGAUUGUUCUCUGCAACUCGAGAGCAUGAAGUCGGAAUCGCUAGUAAUCGCGGAUCAGCAUGUCGCGGUGAAUACGUUCCCGGGUCUUGUACACACCGCCCGUCACACCAUGGGAGUGGGUUUCACCAGAAGUAGUUAGCCUAACCGCAAGGAGGGCGACUACCACGGUGAGAUUCAUGACUGGGGUGAAGUCGUGACAAGGUA
rnacentral:rRNA from 1 species